GCAUUUUCUGGCUUCAGUUUCUGGAGGAAAAGACCGGGUUAACUUGGGAACCCCGGAGGAAGACCGGGAUGGAGAACAGGCUCUCCUAGGUUUCCAACCCCUGUGGGAGGGGCGUGGUGUGAAUAUGACCUGCUUCUCCCUGAGCAGCUCCGUUCCCCUCCAGCACGUCCUCAGUUUUUCUUCUGACUCUUCUCUUAGCUACUUGUCCUCGCUUCCCACCAAUGCCUCGAGUCCAUCUUCACAUAGAGGAUUCUACAUCCCGAUAUAUGGAGCUUCAAAGAGAGCACCAACAUAUAGUUGAAGCUUCUUGAAGUGGAUGGUUAUUAAUACAGAGACAACUGGUCAACGUGAAGCAAAUUAAAAAGUGUUCAACUCUAAAUGAGACAUCUGUAUCACACCUCUACUUCCAAGACUCAGGACCCACAUUGGAGAGGGGACAAAAAGACUCUAAUGGCUGGAAGGAGUCGAUGUCUGCAGCAAAAACGGUAUUUGCUGGUCAUGGCAGUGCCAUUACAUACAUGAACUCAAGUUUGAAUGUAUGAGACUGCCACAAGACCAAGCAUAGACAUGGCAGGAAUUAUUGAAAUUCUACCCUUAUCUGGGGAGCACUUGGUAGCUGUUGGUUGCUGGAGGAGGGGGGAGUUGUUUUUCUUCAGGGAUGCUCUCCCUGAGCAGCUACCCAUUCUCCAAUAGAUGACCCAUACCCAUUCAUAUGUACACAAUACAAAGUGGUCUCAGUGGGCUUAAAAUUAAGGACGUAUGAAGGUGGGAUGAAAAAUGGUUGUGGGAAUGGGGGUGACAUUGGGAACACUUUGUGAUCAUGUAUGAAAUUUCCGAACAAUGUUAAACAAAAAGAUUAUACACGAUAUGAAGGGGGAAAUGAGAAAAAUGGGAUAUGGGAUUUCUUUGGGGAUGGUGGAGGGGGAACAAUACUGAAGGACAGGGUUAGAAGAAGGAUAAGUGAUAAUAAGGAUGUUUGAUAUAGCCACUGGGAAUCAUUAUGCUAAAUUUACAUAUAAUACACAUAAAUGUAUGUGCA
rnacentral:sRNA from 1 species